UACGUAGGGUGCAAGCGUUGUCCGGAAUUAUUGGGCGUAAAGAGCUCGUAGGCGGUUUGUUGCGUCGGCUGUGAAAUCCCGAGGCUCAACCUCGGGUCUGCAGUCGAUACGAGCAAACUAGAGUGUUGCAGGGGAGACUGGAAUUCCUGGUGUAGCGGUGAAAUGCGCAGAUAUCAGGAGGAACACCAGUGGCGAAAGCGGCUUCCUGGUCCAGCACCGACAUUCAGGCACGAAGGCGUGGGGAGCAAACAGG
rnacentral:rRNA from 1 species